rnacentral:lncRNA from 1 species
UAAAUGCCAGUAUAAAUGUUCUAUUUAUCAACUUUCAGGCAAACAAGUUUUAUUUUCACCUUGCAUAUUAUAAAAAGUCUAGAUUUGUAAAAAGCUAAAGGUUAUACAAAGUUUAUAAAUAAUCCUGCAAACACACAUAGUAGACAAGUCAAUGUGCAGAAACUUGAACAUCGGCCAUAAAUCACAAUUCUUGAUCAUUCGUGGGCUUGGUCAUAGGUGCACUUACCACAAGCAUAAAGGUGGGCUUCAUUAUUUUAGUGUCCCACUUCCAACAUUCAUAUAUUUUCAAACUUGAUCAGGCAGAACUGGAUUCAAGCUACUAAUGGAAAAUUUAGUAUAAACUUACUACAGCAGAACCACUAUUCCACAAUAAAUGAAUAUCUGGAUUUGAAUAUUGCAUUCUAGUAUCUGAUUUGCAUAAACAAACAUUAAAGGCUUCUA